rnacentral:rRNA from 1 species
AAUUAGAGGCAUUGCCUGCCCAGUGACUAAAGUUAAACGGCCGCGGUAUCCUGACCGUGCAAAGGUAGCAUAAUCACUUGUUCCUUAAUUAGGGACUAGAAUGAAUGGCUAAACGAGGGUUCAACUGUCUCUUACUUUCAAUCAGUGAAAUUGACCUUCCAGUGAAGAGGCUGGAAUACUACAAUAAGACGAGAAGACCCUAUGGAGCUUUAAUUUACUAGUUUAAUUUAUAUAAUAACAACCUAAUGGACCAAGACAAAAUAAAUAUAAACUAAAAAUUUCGGUUGGGGUGACCUCGGAGAAUAGAAAAUCCUCCGAAUGAUUUUAACCUAGACCCACAAGUCAAAGUAAUAUUAAUAUCUUAUUGACCCAAUUAUUGAUCAACGGACCAAGUUACCCUAGGGAUAACAGCGCAAUCCUAUUUAAGAGUUCAUAUCGACAAUUAGGGUUUACGACCUCGAUGUUGGAUCAGGACAUCCCAAUGGUGCAGAAGCUAUUAAUGGUUCGUUUGUUCAACGAUUAAAGUCCUACGUGAUCUGAGU